UACGGGGGGGGCAAGCGUUGUUCGGAAUUACUGGGCGUAAAGGGCUCGUAGGCGGCCAACUAAGUCAGACGUGAAAUCCCUCGGCUUAACCGGGGAACUGCGUCUGAUACUGGAUGGCUCGAGUUUGGGAGAGGGAUGCGGAAUUCCAGGUGUAGCGGUGAAAUGCGUAGAUAUCAGGAGGAACACCGGUGGCGAAGGCGGGUCUCUGGGCAGUAACUGACGCUGAGGAGCGAAAGCGUGGGGAGCGAACAGG
rnacentral:rRNA from 1 species